rnacentral:rRNA from 1 species
AGUCGAACGGUAACAGGUUAAGCUGACGAGUGGCGAACGGGUGAGUAAUGUAUCGGAACGUGCCCAGUCGUGGGGGAUAACUGCUCGAAAGAGCAGCUAAUACCGCAUACGACCUGAGGGUGAAAGCGGGGGAUCGCAAGACCUCGCGCGAUUGGAGCGGCCGAUAUCAGAUUAGGUAGUUGGUGAGGUAAAGGCUCACCAAGCCGACGAUCUGUAGCUGGUCUGAGAGGACGACCAGCCACACUGGGACUGAGACACGGCCCUGACUCCUACGGGAGGCAGCAGUGGGGAAUUUUGGACAAUGGGCGCAAGCCUGAUCCAGCCAUGCCGCGUGCGGGAAGAAGGCCUUCGGGUUGUAAACCGCUUUUGUCAGGGAAGAAAAGGUUCUGGCUAAUACCUGGGA